CGGUGUUCAACUGGCGUGUCCGCGGGACGUCCUGCCGGUGGGCUUAGCCCGCAAGGGCGGCCCAACUUCAAAUCCCAUCGCGGUGCUCUUCACUGAGUGUCGAGGUGGGCCGGCACGUUUACUUUGAACAAAUUAGAGUGCUUAAAGCAGGCUAAAACUUCGCCUGAAUACUGUGUGCAUGGAAUAAUGGAAUAGGACCUCGGUUCUAUUUUGUUGGUUUUCGGAACCCCGAGGUAAUGAUUAAUAGGAACGGAUGGGGGCAUUCGUAUUGCGACGUUAGAGGUGGAAUUCUUGGAUCGUCGCAAGACGGACAGAAGCGAAAGCAUUUGCCAAAAACGCUUUCAUUGAUCAAGAACGAAAGUUAGAGGUUCGAAGGCGAUCAGAUACCGCCCUAGUUCUAACCAUAAACGAUGCCAGCUAGCGAUCCGUCGACGUUCCUCCGACGACUCGACGGGCAGCUUCCGGGAAACCAAAGCUUUUGGGUUCCGGGGGAAGUAUGGUUGCAAAGCUGAAACUUAAAGGAAUUGACGGAAGGGCACCACCAGGAGUGGAGCCUGCGGCUUAAUUUGACUCAACACGGGAAACCUCACCAGGCCCGGACACCGGAAGGAUUGACAGAUUGAGAGCUCUUUCUUGAUUCGGUGGGUGGUGGUGCAUGGCCGUUCUUAGUUGGUGGAGCGAUUUGUCUGGUUAAUUCCGAUAACGAACGAGACUCUAGCCUGCUAACUAGGCGUAUUUUCGACAUCUCAAAGGUCCGUCGUCCCGGCCCUCGGGUCGUGGGCGUGCGCGAUUUUUACUGUCGGCGUACUAUCAAUUCUUCUUAGAGGGACAGGUGGCUUCUAGCCGCACGAGAUUGAGCAAUAACAGGUCUGUGAUG
rnacentral:rRNA from 1 species